GACAGUGGUGUUAAUACCUUCAAAGCCUGAUCUAGUCAGAUCUCAGAAGUUAAGCAAGGCUAGGUGUGGUUAGUACUGACUUGGGUAACAUCUAAAGAAUAUCAGGUUGCCAUCAUAA
rnacentral:rRNA from 1 species